rnacentral:misc_RNA from 1 species
AAAAUAAUCCUACCCUUUGUGAAUUUUGUUUGUUUGAAUAAUUUUUUUUUUUAAAAAAUUAUUGGAGUCUUUCCCUUUAGAGUUUGCUUUUGAGUUUGUAAAAGAAUUCGAAAACAUCUAAAGGGGAUGGUCAAUAAUUUUUUUUGAAAAAAGACAUUUUUUAAAAUUAAACUUUUUGUAUUCAUUUGUCUAAAAAUUAUUUUUAUAAUAUAAAAACAACUUUUGACAAUGGAUCUCUUGGUUCUCGCAACGAUGAAGAACGCAGCAAAAUGCGAUAAGUAGUGUGAAUUGCAGAGUACGUGGAAUCAUCGAAUCUUUGAACGCAUAUUGCAUUUUUUUAGUUUACUAAAAAAGUAUGUCUGUUUGAGUAUCAGUAAAAUAUUCUCAUAAAAAUCAUUGUGUAUUUUUAUGGUUAUGAGUGUUUUACAACGAUACAAGUUGUUUUCACUUUAAAUUUUUUUUUUAAUAUUGAAAUUUUUCUAAUUUUAAUAAUUAAAAAUUGGAUAAAAUUUUCCCGUCAAAAGGAAUAACCUAAACAAUUUUAAACGAUUAAUUUUAGCAAAAUUUUCGUAAAAAAGGAAAAUUUUUAUUAAAAUAACUUGAUCUCAAAUCAGAUAAGAGUACCCGCUGAACUUAAGCAUAUCAAUAAGCGGAGGAAAAGAAACUAACAAGGGAUUCCCUUAGUAACGGCGAGUGAAGCGGGAAGAGCUCAAAUUUGAAAGUCUUCAAGGUUUUACCUUGACGAAUUGUAGUUUAAAGAAGUGUUUUCUGCUGAAGUUUUGGUAAAAGUUCUUUGGAAUAGGACAUCAUAGAGGGUGAGAAUCCCGUAUUUGACCAUUAUUUUCAGCUUUGUGAUACACUUUCAAAGAGUCGGAUUGUUUGGAAUGCAGUCCAAAAUGGGUGGUAAAUUUCAUCUAAAGCUAAAUAUUGGCGAGAGACCGAUGGCGAACAAGUACCGUGAGGGAAAGAUGAAAAGAACUUUGAAAAGAGAGUUAAACAGUACGUGAAAUUGUCAAAAGGGAAGCGUUUGACACCAGUGUUGUUUUCUCGAAAAUCAAUUAAAAAUGGCUCGAUUUUGUAUUGCUGAGACCUUAAAAGCUCACUGUACAUUUUUCGUGUCUUUUUUAAUGCGCUUUUCGUUUAACAAGUCAACAUCAGUUUCUUUUGUUGUAAAAGGGUCAUUGGAAGGUGGCUUUCUUUUCGGAGAAAGUGUUUAUAGCCUUUGGCCUCUGCAAUCGGAGAGACUGAGGUCUGCAGCGUAGACUCUUCGGGGUUAGAUACAUUUGUGCUAAGUUAUAGCUUUUUAUAGACAACUUGUUGACUAUAAUUAGUCUUGUAGCUUACUCGCUCAUGCUAUUUUACCUACGCUUAGGAUG